rnacentral:rRNA from 1 species
UACGGGGGGGGUAAGCGUUGUUCGGAAUUACUGGGCGUAAAGGGCUCGUAGGCGGCCAACUAAGUCAUACGUGAAAUCCCUCAGCUUAACUGGGGAACUGCGUGUGAUACUGGAUGGCUUGGAUUUGGGAGAGGGAUGCGGAAUUCCAGGUGUAGCGGUGAAAUGCGUAGAUAUCUGGAGGAACACCGGUGGCGAAGGCGGCGUUCUGGACUGUUACUGACACUGAGGAACGAAAGCCAGGGGAGCAAACGGG